GGCUAAAUACUCGUAAUCGACCGAUAGUGAACCAGUACCGUGAGGGAAAGGCGAAAAGAACCCCGGGAGGGGAGUGAAAUAGAUCCUGAAACCGUAUGCAUACAAACAGUGGGAGCGGACUUGUUCCGUGACUGCGUACCUUUUGUAUAAUGGGUCAGCGACUUACAUUCAGUAGCAAGCUUAACCGAUAGGGGAGGCGUAGCGAAAGCGAGUCCGAAUAGGGCGUCUAGUUGCUGGGUGUAGACCCGAAACCAAGUGAUCUAUCCAUGGCCAGGAUGAAGGUGCCGUAACAGGUACUGGAGGUCCGAACCCACAAAUGUUGAAAAAUUUGGGGAUGAGCUGUGGAUAGGGGUGAAAGGCUAAACAAACUUGGAAAUAGCUGGUUCUCUCCGAAAACUAUUUAGGUAGUGCCUCGUAUAUAACUCUUGGGGGUAGAGCACUGUUAUGACUAGGGGGUUCACAAGAACUUACCAACUCAUUGCAAACUAAGUGGAAAACGAAGUGGGAAGGCAUAGACAGCUAGGAGGUUGGCUUAGAAGCAGCCAUCCUUUAAAGAAAGCGUAAUAGCUCACUAGUCGAGUCGUCCCGCGCGGAAGAUGUAACGGGGCUAAGCACGUAACCGAAGCUGCGGAUGCAUAUUUAUAUGCAUGGUAGGAGAGCGUUCUGUAGGCCUGCGAAGGUGUUCUGUGAGGAAUGCUGGAGGUAUCAGAAGUGCGAAUGCUGACAUGAGUAGCGAUAAAGGGUGUGAAAAGCACCCUCGCCGAAAGCCCAAGGUUUCCUGCGCAACGUUCAUCGGCGCAGGGUGAGUCGGCCCCUAAGGUGAGGCAGAGAUGCGUAGCUGAUGGGAAACAGGUUAAUAUUCCUGUACUUUAAUAUGAUGCGAUGUGGGGACGGAGAAGGUUAGGUCAUCCAACUGUUGGAAUAGUUGGUUCAAGCGUGUAGGGAGGUUUCUUAGGCAAAUCCGGGAGAUCAAUUCUGAGACGUGAUAACGAGGCACUUAGGUGCUGAAGUGAUUAAUACCAUGCUUCCAAGAAAAGCCACUAAGCUUCAGUCAUAUUAAAACCGUACCGCAAACCGACACAGGUGGGCAGGAUGAGAAUUCUAAGGCGCUUGAGAGAACCCGGGAGAAGGAACUCGGCAAAUUUGCACCGUAACUUCGGGAGAAGGUGCGCCCCGGUAGGUUGUAGAGAUUUACUCUCGAAGGCCGAUGGGGUUGCAGUGAAAAGGUGGCUGCGACUGUUUAAUAAAAACACAGCACUCUGCAAACACGAAAGUGGACGUAUAGGGUGUGACGCCUGCCCGGUGCCGGAAGGUUAAUUGAUGGGGUGCAAGCUCUUGAUCGAAGCCCCGGUAAACGGCGGCCGUAACUAUAACGGUCCUAAGGUAGCGAAAUUCCUUGUCGGGUAAGUUCCGACCUGCACGAAUGGCGUAACGAUGGCCACACUGUCUCCUCCGCAGACUCAGCGAAGUUGAAAUGUUUGUGAUGAUGCAAUCUCCCCGCGGCAAGACGGAAAGACCCCAUGAACCUUUACUGUAGCUUUGCAUUGGACUGUGAACCGAUCUGUGUAGGAUAGGUGGGAGGCUUUGAAGCGUGGACGCUAGUCUGCGUGGAGCCGUCCUUGAAAUACCACCCUGGUUUGUUUGCGGUUCUAACCUAGGCCCGUUAUCCGGGUCGGGGACAAUGCAUGGUAGGCAGUUUGACUGGGGCGGUCUCCUCCCAAAAGGUAACGGAGGAGUUCGAAGGUACGCUUGGCACGGUCGGACAUCGUGCCUAAAGUGCAAGGGCAAAAGCGUGCUUAACUGCGAGACCGACAAGUCGGGAGUUUGGCACCUCGAUGUCGGCUCAUCACAUCCUGGGGCUGUAGCCGGUCCCAAGGGUAUGGCUGUUCGCCAUUUAAAGUGGUACGUGAGCUGGGUUCAAAACGUCGUGAGACAGUUUGGUCCCUAUCUGCCGUGGGCGUUGGAAGUUUGAGGGGGGCUGCUCCUAGUACGAGAGGACCGGAGUGGACGCACCUCUGGUGUACCGGUUGUCACGCCAGUGGCAUUGCCGGGUAGCUAUGUGCGGAAGAGAUAACCGCUGAAAGCAUCUAAGCGGGAAACUCGCCUCAAGAUGAGACUUCCCGGAGACUUGAUCUCCCUGUAGGGUCGUCCGAGACCAGGACGUUGAUAGGCUGGGUGUGUACGGUCAGUAAUGGCCUUAGCUAACCAGUACUAAUUGCCCGUGUGGCUUGAUCCUAUAACCGUGAAGGUUAU
rnacentral:rRNA from 1 species